GUCACUUUGGGGAAGAGGAGUUGGGGGAAGGAGAACCUACUGCCUGCUUCACUGUAUUGUCCCUAUUGUUUUGCAGAGAAUAAAAGCCCGCGAAUACAUCGUCAUCCCGUGUCACG